GAGAUAUUAGUAAAACUAUUACAUAACUUUGUCAAAGUUAAAUUAUAAGAUAAAACUUAUAUAUCUUG
rnacentral:tRNA from 1 species